GUGGUACUUUUUUCCUCAAUGGUACUUUUCUAUCUCUAUCUUGAUGUUUAGGUUUUUAAUUGUUGAACAUUUUUACCGUGGAAUUUUCAUAAACCCUGUACAAUUGGUACCUGUUGACGAUUGGUACAUUUUUACCGUGGAAUUUUCAUAAACCCUGUACAAUUGGUAGGUUUUAAUUGUUGAACGUUUUUUUUGUCAAUUUAUGGAUUAUUCUGCUAACUGUGGAAUUGGAUCCGGUGGAGUUCGACGUGGUUGGGAUGCGAAAGAGAUAGAGGAUUUUCUGCUUCUUCGUUUGGAUAUGCCUGGACUUGGUUUCAUGGUUGAUGUUGGUUUUUAUUGUUCAUCAGUGUCAUUAUUUAGUAUAAAUCAGCGAUUGCAAAUUUGUGUGAAAGCAUAUAUAUGUAAGUCAUGCUCAGAAGUACUUUCUCUGCCGAAGUAAUCUCAAUCGCUGUCGCCGUAGAUCCAGUCUUUUUGAUAUCACCACCGACAGGGUUUGUAUGGUGCAACCAAAAGCAGAAAUGGAUCUCCAAUUUCAGUCAACAAAUAUGAGCAAUACUUAAGUGCAGUUGCAUUUGCUGUUACUACUUUUGGAACGGUUGCUUUGAUGAGUGGAUUCUUCCUUAAACCUGUUGCUACACUUGAUGAUUAUCUUGCUAACGCUGUGCCUCUAUUUGGUGGUUUCUUAUCUAUUCUUGGAGUUUCUGAGAUUCGCAUUUCAAGAUUGGUUGUGGGUUGUGGCUGGUGGGCAGAUUUGUAUUGCUUAGAAAUUAGCAGAACUGACAUUGAUGUAGCUCAAAUCUCGAUAUACACCUGACAAUGCAUAUGGAACAUUUAUACACCUGACAAAAGCACAGGAAGGAAAGCUCAUAAAUUGGAGACACGCUCUCUUUUUUCCAUUCGAAGUUUAUACGAUUCUUCUUCAAUGGUAGGAAACAUGUGUACCCGCAAUUUACGAUUCUUCUUCAAUGGUAGGAAACGUGUGUACCCGCAAUUUCUCGCGAUUCGAAGGUGAUGCAGUGAUGUGUUGGUGGUUUCAUUGGUCUCGUUGCUGGUUUCUUUUUCCUUUAGUGGUACUUUUUUCUUCAAUGUGGAAUUAGUAGUACUGGAAUGAUUCAGCAAACUAUGCUUUUCUAUGGAGAAUCUUUUGGCACCGAUGACAAUUUAUUCGUUAGCUAAGCUUGCUCGAAAAACUAUCUCAGAUGAUUAAAUUUUGUGUGUGGAGUGGUGAUAGUGGUCAAAAGAAAAUCUGCACAGUUGCUUGGAGAGAUGUUUGUAAAUCUAGAGAAGAGGGUGGCCUUGCUGUGAAAGAUCCCUCUCUGGUGAAUAAGGCUUUUCUUCUGCAUCUGUGUUGGAAGAUGCUCACCUUACAAGAUCAAUGGGCAGUUAUGGCUAGAAUGCGGUUCAUGAAAAAUGGUAAGCCAAGGUCUUCACAUCUCAAAUCUUCUAUCUGGCUGGGUCUUAGGCCCCUUCUGAAUGACAUUUUUCAACAUGCCACUUGGACUGUUGGUAAUGGAGAGUCCAUUUACUUUUGGACUGAUAGAUGGUUGGCUAUGCUUAUAGUGGAUAUUUGGCAGAUCCCUGUUCACCUUCACAAAGUCUUGACAGUGAAAUUUGCUGAUUUUGUGAUAGAGGACAGUGGCAAAUUCCCGAUUAUUUCCUGCAUAAGGGUGUCUCUUUAGUCCAACAAAUAUAUGGUAUCACUCUGCCUAUUGACUUGCUGAUACUCUCAAAUGGAACAAUUCUAUUGAUGGGAAUUUGACAAAUAAAUUAGCUUUUGAUCAUUUGAAAGGGACUUCUCAGAGAUUUCCGUGGUGCACAGCUAUUUGGAAUAAGUAUACCCCCCUUCCAGAUCUUUUAUUCUUUGGAGAUUUGCUCACAAUAAGUUGUCCACUGAUGAUAAUUUGUGUAAAAGUGGGUGUUGCAUUGUCUCUAUCUGUUGUUUCUGCCACAAUCAAGCGGUAUCUUCUCAUCAUAUUUUCUUAUCUUGCCCUGUUACUAUGGUGUUGUGUGAUUGGCUUAGCUCUGGUACUGGUCAGCAGUUUGAUACGUGGUAGGCUCUAAUCACUAGCUGUCUGAGUAUUAGUAGCUCUCUGUUGCGGAAAGUGAUGCUGUUUGCAGUCCUGCAUACUGUUUGGAUAAUUUGGAUUGAAAGAAACAACAUAACCUUUUAGGACAAACACACAAGCAUAGAUAACAUGAAACACUGUGUUCUGACAGAUAUUCAUCUGAGUUUUUCUCUGAACUUGAUGACGGGAACAUCCUCUAUGGCUAAGUUUAAAGUUACUCAAUUUUUCAACAUCCCUUUCAGGUCUAGCAGGCUCGUUUCUGCCGCUGAGGUACGAUUGCUUCCUCCUGCUGCUGGAAGAAUAAAAGUGAAUAUUGAUGGUUCCUCCUUUGGGCCUGUGCCCAGUAGGGCAAUUGGUGGGGUUUUCCGUUUGAGUCACUUUUGGGUGGAUUUACCCAGAAUACAGGUUGUGCUUCAGCUCAAGAGGCUGAGCUUUGUGCUGCCAUGUUUGCGAUUGAGAAAGCUGCGGAACUAAAUAGGAAAUAGUUGUGGUUAGAGAGUGAUUCUCUGAUUGUGGUUAGGUGUUUUGAUAGCAGAUCUGUGGUCCCUUGAAGAUUGAAGACAAGAUGGCAAAACUGCACGGUUUUGGUUCGGAAGUUAGGUGGUAUUUGUACCCACAUUCACAGGGAAGGCAACCCGGUUGCAGACGCCUUAGCUCAAAAUGGGCAGAGUUUGGCAUUAUCUACUUCUCAAUGGUGGAGUGAACCUCCCUAUUUUCUUCUAUCUCUUUUGUAUCACGGUAGUCUAGGUGUGCCUCAUUAUAGAACAAUCAGAUGAUGUAUUGACUUAGUAAUAGGGUUCUGGCCCCCUCCAGCUUGGUUUUUUGAUAUUUUGCUCUGAUUGAUAAAAAAAAAAAUGAUUGUGAUUUGCCACUGUUCUAUAUGGAUUGCUUCAAUACUUCUCUGUUUUCGUCUUAGAAAGUUAUGAUGUGUUUUAAAGAUGAAACACGCAGCCUUUUAUCUUUGAAACACGCAUCAUUCGGGAAACAUUACGAAUACUUCACUCAUUAUGUAAAAAUUGGAUGAUGCCUGAAAUGUAAUAUUAAUGUGAAUUUUUUUUAUUCAUUAUAUAAUGAUGGAUCCAUUGUGUGCUUUUAUGGAUAAAUCAUGGAUGUUAUUUGUUCCAUGAAUUUUUAAUUUUAAAUUGUUUGCAUGUCUCAUUUGACCCUAAAAGGAACGUUAUGAACACUUUAAUCAUAAUUUAAAGUUUGAUAUUCAUAAUAUAAAGGUUUGUAUUAGUUAUGCUUUAAUGACCUUGAAUUCACUUUUAGACUGUGAAUUGCCACUGUGGAAUAUGAGAUGCCUCAAUGAUCCAAAAAGAUUAUGUAUAUUAUUUGCUCCACGAAUUUACUGUUGUGCUUUUAUGAUCCUGAAUGAUGCUCUCUACUGUGAAUGUGAAUUACCACUCGAAGAUGGAAUGAGUUUAAAUUUUGUAACUAUUUGGAUGCCUUGUAACUCAGAAAGGAAUCAAUUAAUAUUAUUUAUUCCAGAAUUUGAAGUGCGCCUAUUUGUUCUGCAUUGUGACUGUUGCUUUUAGGUCUUUUGGUUGUUUUGCUGUGAUAUUGCUAUCUUUGGAUGACAAAAUUAUGCGUUACGUUAGAAUUAAGGCAUGCUUUUGUUGGUAUCAGAGACUUAAGAUUUGUCUUUAUUUUUCUCUAGAAACAUGUUUUUGUUGGUAUGUAAUGUGUAAUUGAAAUAUUUCAAACUUUGAAACUGAUAAUACUUAUUUUCUCAUAUCUAAAAAGUGUAAUAAAAAUAAAAUCUUUUGAUAAGGCUGGAAAAUAUAGAAAAACAAGUUUUUCAUCAAAACAAAAUCUUCAUGGAAGUGCAUCUUUGUGGGCUUUCUUUCUUUGUGCAUCUUUUUGGAGUGAGUCUUUAAAAUGUGGCUUGGGAUUUUGACCGUCCUCAGAGAGAUCUGAGCACCUUUGAUUGAGAGAAGAUCGUGUUGGAGUCAAAUUGGAAAAUCCUUAACACUAAAACAAGAAGAUUUAUGUAUGCAUUAAACCAGUAGCUUGAGAACCCUUUGAGCUGUUUGGGGAUAAAUUAAGUGUCGAAUCGGACAUAGGUGGUUCUAUUUUGUCAGAAAUUGUGAUGUAUAUCAGUAUGUCUGCAGGUCUUAGAUCAGCAGAAAGUCUGUCCUAUUGUUUACUUGCUGCGCUUGUUCUUUGUUGCGGAUGGACACUUUCUGAUGACUUAAAUGUGAUAUGGAUGUGAAUUUGUAUUCAUGAUGCAAGAGAUGAUAUCUAUAGUGCUUUUACUACCCUUAAUCAAAUUCAACUUGAAUUGCCACUCGGAGAUGAAAUAUGAUCCUAAAUUUUGCGUCUCUCCAGAUGCCUUGGUGACCCGUAAUGAAUCAAUGGAUAUUACUUGUUACAUGAAUUUUGUAAGUGUUGGGGAUGUCUUGAUGACCCUAAACAAAACAUUAAUCAAACUUCACUCAUAAUGUAAAAGCUAUAUACUGCCUUAAAUGCGAUAUUGAAGCGAAAUUUUAUUCAUUAUGUAAGGGAUGGUACUCGUUUCACCAAGACUUUGAAUGCAAUUCUAGUCUGUUCUUAUUGAGCCUACAAGUCGGACUACCAGCAUAGAAUGAGGGGCUUUAUAGUUUUAUUGACUAUCCAUCUAAUGUUAGUCUUGAUGGAUAAAUUAUACUCUCAGCUUUUGGAGCCGAGGUAUAUUUGACAUACCCUGUCGUAGUUGAUGAAGUUCUUCAAAAGCCAUAAGAGAUAAUAGUAAAAACAUUUUAUGGCUAUAUGCUGCAACAAUUUUUAAAAUCUUGCAAUUUGGAGGAAGGGAUGGUUGCACUUUUAUGACCUGAAUGCAAAUUUAGGGUAUGUAAACCGUCGAAGAUUGAUGGACUCUGAACAAGAGCAAUAUAUAUGACUCUGAAUGCAAAAUUAGGGUAUGUAAACCCUUGAAGGUUGAUGGACUAUGAACAAGAGCAAUAUAUAGAUGUAUACUAGUUUUGUUAAAAUGUAUUGACAUAAAUAUGUUUUGGGCCUCAUUUAGUAAAUCAUAUUGAAAUAAAUAACUUUUUUUUUUUAAAAAUGUACUAAUAUAAUAUUAUUUAUGAAACCUAUUUAAUAAA